UCAUGAAUAUGAUACAUGGUGACCUCCAUAGUCUUUUGUUUAUGUGCAUUUAUUUAUCGAAGUUUUAAUAAGAACAUAUUAAUAGAUAGAGUUAACACUUGUGGUUUCAAACUAAAAGUUAUUAAAAAUAUAAGAUUUCCUCCUUAUCUGAGUAUUGAUGCUUCCUUGGGCAAGUUUUUCUUCUUGAGCAUUAUUUUCUUCCGGAUUUUAAAGAUUUUGCUUUUUUGUGAAUUUGCCUCCACUCUAUGCUAUGUUGUAUGUGGUAUACUUACACACACAAGAAAUAAUAAAUAGUUACCCGAUCCCAAUGUUUGUUAAAUUACCUGCUGAGGUUUGAACUACUGACCUCUUAAACAACACACACCUAACCACUUGAGCUAGAGUCAAGUGGUGCCUAAUGUGAUAAACUUUGGAGCCUGUUUUUGAGCCCUUCAAGUUUAUUAUAACUCUUCUUGUUGUUUCUGGUGAUUUUUUAUAGACAUAACUAUGUAUUUUCUGCAUUUUCCAUUGUUUUAAUUUCAUAUUGCUGAUUAUGGCACUGCUCAUUCUUGGCCUCCCUAUACCAAGAAUGAAAGUGUAUGUAACUGAGGAAAAUGAGUUGAUAAUGGAACCAGCAUUAAGAUGGGCUAGAAAUCCUAACCUUAUGGUUGCAGUUAAAGCGUUUGGUUUGAGAGCCACAUUUCAGGUUAUUGAUAUGCAAGUAUUUGUUCAUCCACGUAUUACCCUGAAGCCUUUGGUUCCAGAAUUUCCUUGUUUUGCAAAAAUACUUGUUUCCCUUAUGGAGAAUCCACAUGUUGACUUUGGAUUAAAAGUACUUGGUGCAGAUGCUAUGUCCAUUCCUGGCCCAUAUGGGUUUGUCUAGGAAAUGAUUAAAGAUCAAGUUACAAACAUGUAUUUAUGGCCCAAAUCUCUAGAAGUACAAAUUAUGGAUCCAAAAAAGCUUCGAGGAGACCUGUUGGAAUUCUGAAUGUAAAAGUGGUGAGGGCCUUGAAACUUAAAAAGAAAAAUUUUAUGGGUGGAGCAGAUCCUUAUGUUAAACUUAAGUUAACUGAGGACAUGCUUCGUUCAAAGAAAACAAUGGUGAAGCAUAAAAAUUUGAAUCCCGAAUGGAACGAGGAAUUUAACAUGGUUAUCAAAGACCCCCAAACUCAAGCAUUAGAGAUAAUGGUUUAUGACUAGGAAUAGGGUGGAAUGUCUAAUGAGAUGUACAAUACCAUAGCCCGUGUAACAGAUGGAAUCUAUGAAGGCAUUGCUAUUGGAGGUGAUGUGUUUCCAGGCUCCACUCUUUCUGAUCAUGUUCUCCAGUUUAACAAUAUUCCACAGCACCAUAAAGCCUUAUCGUCCCUCUGUUCUGAAAUUGAUGUUUCUCCUCGCCACUCAAUAGAUAGCUAACUGAAGUUAUUUUCCUGAGACGCACAAUCACGCAGUCACAUCGCUCGACUUCUCCUCAUCAGUCCCCAAACAGUUUAGGCUUCAGAUUUU